GACGAACGCUGGCGGCGUGCUUAACACAUGCAAGUCGAACGGAAAGGCCCUGCUUUUGUGGGGUGCUCGAGUGGCGAACGGGUGAGUAACACGUGAGUAACCUGCCCUUGACUUUGGGAUAACUUCAGGAAACUGGGGCUAAUACCGGAUAGGAGCUCCUGCUGCAUGGUGGGGGUUGGAAAGUUUCGGCGGUUGGGGAUGGACUCGCGGCUUAUCAGCUUGUUGGUGGGGUAGUGGCUUACCAAGGCUUUGACGGGUAGCCGGCCUGAGAGGGUGACCGGCCACAUUGGGACUGUGAUACGGCCCAGACUCCUACGCGAGGCAGAAGUGUGGAAUAUUGCACACUGGGCGGAAGCCUCAGGCAGAGACGCCGCGUGCGCGAUGUCGGCCUUCGGGUUGUAAACCGCUUUCGCCUGUGACGCAGCGUGAGUGACGGUAAUGGGUAAAGAAGCACCGGCUAACUACGUG
rnacentral:rRNA from 1 species